UACGGAGGGUGCGAGCGUUAAUCGGAAUUACUGGGCGUAAAGCGCGCGUAGGCGGUUUGUUAAGUCAGCUGUGAAAGCCCCGGGCUCAACCUGGGAACUGCAGUUGAUACUGGCCGACUGGAGUGCGAGAGAGGGAGGUAGAAUUCCAUGUGUAGCGGUGAAAUGCGUAGAUAUAUGGAGGAAUACCGGUGGCGAAGGCGGCCUCCUGGCUCGACACUGACGCUGAGGUGCGAAAGCGUGGGGAGCAAACAGG
rnacentral:rRNA from 1 species